rnacentral:rRNA from 1 species
UGCAGUCGAACGAGACCUUCGGGUCUAGUGGCGCACGGGUGAGUAACGCGUGGAAACCUACCAUUCUGUACGGAAUAACGAUUGGAAACGAUCGCUAAUACCGUAUACGCCCUGUGGGGGAAAGGUCCGCCGCAGAAUGAGGGGUCCGCGUCCGAUUAGCUUGUUGGUGGGGUAAAAGCCUACCAAGGCGAUGAUCGGUAGCUGGUCUGAGAGGAUGAUCAGCCACACUGGGACUGAGACACGGCCCAGACUCCUACGGGAGGCAGCAGUGGGGAAUAUUGGACAAUGGGGGCAACCCUGAUCCAGCAAUGCCGCGUGUGUGAAGAAGGCCUUAGGGUUGUAAAGCACUUUCAAUGGUGAAGAUGAUGACGGUAGCCGUAGAAGAAGCCCCGGCUAACUUCGUGCCAGCAGCCCGCGGGUAAUACGAAGGGGGCGAGCGUUGUUCGGAUUACUGGGGCGUAAAGGGCGCGCAGGCGGCCAAUCCAGUCAGGUGUGAAAGCCCCGGGCUUACCUGGGAACUGCACUUUGAUACUGAUGGGCUAGAAACGGAAGAAGGGCAGUGGAUUCCCAGUG